rnacentral:rRNA from 1 species
CCUACGGGAGGCAGCAGUGAGGAAUAUUGGUCAAUGGGAGAGAUCCUGAACCAGCCAAGCCGCGUGAGGGAAGACGGCCCUAUGGGUUGUAAACCUCUUUUGUCGGAGAACAAAACCCGGGACGUGUCCCGGACUGCGUGUAUCCGACGAAAAAGCAUCGGCUAACUCCGUGCCAGCAGCCGCGGUAAUACGGAGGAUGCGAGCGUUAUCCGGAUUUAUUGGGUUUAAAGGGUGCGUAGGCGGUCCGUUAAGUCAGCGGUAAAAGUGCGGGGCUCAACCCCGACGAGCCGUUGAAACUGGCAGACUUGAGUUGGCGAGAGGUACGCGGAAUGCGCGGUGUAGCGGUGAAAUGCAUAGAUAUCGCGCAGAACUCCGAUUGCGAAGGCAGCGUACUGGCGCCAGACUGACGCUGAGGCACGAAAGCGUGGGGAUCGAACAGGAUUAGAUACCCGUGUAGUC